UCUACCAUCAUCAAUGCUGCUGCAAAAUCUUGGUGAAAAAUUAAUCCAGCAACACUGGAUUUUUUUUUGGCCAUUCAGUGACUGCAUUUGUGUGUUUGAAGGUUAAAUGUGCUGCUUGAUCGAUGCUACGCAACAACGACCCCACAUCCUCUGAACAGCACCUUCUAUGAUCUUUUUGUUGGGUGUCACUAUGAUGAGCAGACAAUGGUGGACCUGAAUGGAGUUUCACAAGAAGCUCGUUUCUCCUUUGAGGUCUUUCGUUUCCUCGAGCAUCAGAACAUCAGCAUCUCCACCUUCUACCUGCACUGCGUCACACGACUGUGUGAGAAUUCCACCUGUUCCUCCAUGCUACCGAACUGCGAGGCCAAGGUGAAAAGGGAGGUUCAGGCCAGUCAGGACUCAAACAAAGUCAAAACUGUCUCCUCAGGACCAAUCAGGACAAACGUGAACAACGGUGAAGCUCUAGAAUCAUCCAAUCAAUUCGACUCUUAUCCUUCUGAAAGCAGUUCUGCAGGAACUGUAGCAACAGCUGCUAUACUGACCUGCCUGCUGAGCAUCUGCACGUCUGGCCUGGUUGUGUUUAUACUGGUUUAUAAGAAGUAUAAUGUUUUCUCCAUUAUUAGUUAAUGAACAGCUUGGACCUUUUUUUACAACUAUCUACACAACAGUACCGUGGGGGAACUGUGUUCCUUUCAGUUUUCCUGAAAUAAUAUUAAUAAUAAUAAUAAAAAUCAGGUUAUUCUGCCUUUGCA
rnacentral:lncRNA from 1 species